UUGGGGAUAAAGACAAGAUCCAUUAAGUUAAAAAAUAUAAAAAUGUCACUUUACACCAUAACAUCCAACAAUUGAGAUUAAAUACAUUGGUGGACUUUCUGGUUUACAGAAUAUAUGUAAAAUUAAACUCCACACUUUUGCAACCCAAUACAAAUGGUAAGACCCAACAAAAUAAACAUUCUAAAAAGAAAAAAAAAAUGAUAAAAAAGAAGAAGAAGAGGAUAUAUACACAAUGAGAAAAAAAAUGCAAAAGCCCCAAAAUUUCCAUCAGCUUGGACAACCAUUGAUACUGCAUUGCCCGGCGUCGAAUCACUGGUUGGUCCAAAACCUAAGCUACUGUUGCUUGCACUCUGGAGCACGCUCACUUUGCUGACUUUCCCCAAUUCGUGCUCCUCCACUUUUCUGCGAUUCAAGAACCAGAAGAUGUAAAUCAUGAUUCAUAAAUGACACUUCAAAUCUUCAUAGAUAGAACAAAAACUUGGACUUGAUAGAUCAACUCACCUUAGGUCCACUAGAUGACUGCAACAACAUGAAAAUGCAAUGGCAGAAUAAUAAAUUAGCAAUUUCAAAAACUUGCGGUUCCAUCUAAAAUUCAAAUGCUCCAAGGAAAAACAGAAGAGGCUACAAUCUUAUAGAUGUUUAUUCUUUAUACCUUCUUCCUGCGACCUUUUCCUUCGUUGACCUCCUCAUUGUUGUCAUCCUCAUCCUCAUCAUCUUCAUUCUCAUCUUCAUCUUCGUCGUCAUCAUCAUCAUCAUCACCACUCUCAUCAUCGUUGUUAACUUCCACAUCAGAAUCA
rnacentral:misc_RNA from 1 species